GACGGAGGAUGCAAGCGUUAUCCGGAAUGAUUGGGCGUAAAGCGUCCGCAGGUGGCAGUUCAAGUCUGCUGUCAAAGACCGGGGCUUAACUUCGGAAAGGCAGUGGAAACUACAUGGCUAGAGUGCGUUCGGGGCAGAGGGAAUUCCUGGUGUAGCGGUGAAAUGCGCAGAUAUCGGGAGGAACACCGGUGGCGAAGGCGGUUCUCUGGGCCUUACCUGACGCUGAGACGCGAAAGCGUGGGGAGCGAACAGG
rnacentral:rRNA from 1 species